rnacentral:rRNA from 1 species
AACCUUUACAAUGCACGAAAGUGUGAUAAGGGGAUCCCAAGUGCUAUGCUUUUAGUAUGGCUUUUGCCAAGAGUAAAAACCUUGGCGAAUAAGUGGUGGGUAAGACUUGUG